rnacentral:lncRNA from 1 species
GGAGCUACUACCUUUGGGUAAGGUGUGUUGUGUAUCGAACUUCGAGGGAAAAGUAGCGAUGCAAAAACAGUCGGGACGAGUAAAUGUUGCGACUAAGGUACAUUCCGAACACUUUGUUAGUGUUUUGAAUUCUGACUUGUUGGCUUGGCAAAAUCGUAAGGACCCUUUCAAAGUUCAUAAGCAAGGAGGUCAUGGAACUGUGGGCAAUUCGAAGCCAAGUGGUGAAAACCAAGAGGAUUCCAAUCGAAGCAAGUCAAAAUUGGGGCAAGUUAAAGUUGAGACUUCUUGCCAAUGAGAUGUACCAAUGAGUGCAAUGGUUUAAGAUAAGAGGCGACAAAAGCCGAAGCAAAGGUUCCGAAGGAAAAGAUGACAUGAUAGCAAAACUAGUCGGGAAAAAGCCAAGGCAAUGUGAGAAAGUUCCAAAGAGAAUCAAGUCAAUACCAUUCUGAAGGUGCAACGAGGGCAUUGCGAGAAUGGGUGGGGGCGAAUGUCACGGGCCGCAGUCCAAAGCCCGUGACCAUCGCACAAGAUGCACCCCAUGAAGGUCUAUCAAUUAGAUGGAGA